AUCGCUUCUCGGCCUAAUGGCUUAGAUCAAGUGUAGUAUCUGUUCUUAUUUGGGCUCCGGACCAUCUUUCAAUUGGUUACGGUAUUGCUAGAAAGCAGAAACAACACAAGAUCGAAACCGUGACAGUCGAUAAAGGUUCUUGGCGUAGUCGCUUUUUUAGUAUCUCCUUCUACGUCCGGAAAUCUCAAGGCGAUUUCU
rnacentral:snRNA from 1 species